rnacentral:lncRNA from 1 species
CCGGGAGACCCGCGCCCCCGUCGGGGUGGCUGCGCCCACCCGGCUCCACUCGUCGUCACCCGGCACCCUUCCCCUUCAGUCACCUGGGUUUUGAGAGAAUACCUCAAGCUGGACUCAGAAGCAAGAUUCACUACUCACUUUGAAGUGGAAGAAGUAGUGUUAGCAAUGCCUCUGUGGCUGUCCUUGAACUUGAGAGUGUACACGUUUAUAUGGAGGGAUUUCCGGGUUAAAGGACGUGGAUCUUCCUAUCUGUGGUAAGUAUUGCCAAACUGCCCUCCAUAGGCAUUGUCCAGGUUUACCCUCCCAUCGGCCGUGUAUGCCUUUCUCCUCCUUUCUGCCAGUGGUGUGUGAUUAAACCUUUUAAUCCUUGCCAAUUUCAUAGCUGGAAAAGGGAGUCUUUCUGUUGUUUUCUUUUGCAUUUCUCAUUAUAAAUGAGGUUGUGUGUACUGUCGUGUGUUUAAGAGCAGUUUUUCUUUCUGUGUAUUAAUUGACUUUUGUGAUCCUUUGUCCAUUUAUCUGAGAUAAGCUCUUUAAAUAAAAAGAGAAGUUAUCCCA